rnacentral:rRNA from 1 species
GGAAGUAAAAGUCGUAACAAGGUUUCCGUAGGUGAACCUGCGGAAGGAUCAUUGUCGAAACCUGCCUAGCAGAACGACCCGAGAACUAGUUUCAAAGCGGGGGGGUGAGGGGUCCUGCGGCUCCUUGUCCCCUUUAUCUCGGGGGGGUUGCGCUGCGCUCGCGCGGCCGACCCUUCCGGGCGUACAAACGAACACCGGCGCGAAUUGCUCCAAGGAAAUUGAACGAGAGAGCGCGUCCCCGUCGCCCCAGAAACGGUGUGCGCGGGCGGCGUCGUCAUCUUCAAAUAUGUCAAAACGACUCUCGGCAACGGAUAUCUCGGCUCUCGCAUCGAUGAAGAACGUAGCGAAAUGCGAUACUUGGUGUGAAUUGCAGAAUCCCGUGAACCAUCGAGUCUUUGAACGCAAGUUGCGCCCGAAGCCACUAGGCCGAGGGCACGCCUGCCUGGGCGUCACACGCCGUUGCCCCCCCAUCUACUCCUUCGGGAUUGCGGGGGGGCGGAUGAUGGCCUCCUGUGCGCCUAGCCGCGCGGUUGGCAUAAAUACCAAGUCCUCGGCGACGCACGCCACGACAAUCGGUGGUUGCGAAACCUCGGUUGCCCGUCGUGUGCGUUCGUCGCGCAUCGAGGGCUCGAAAAAAUGCUCGGCUCCGGCUGGGCUUUCAACGCGACCCCAGGUCAGGCGGGGUUACCCGCUGAAUUUAAGCAUAUCAAUAAGCGGAGGA